rnacentral:rRNA from 1 species
UGCAUCGGAAUGUACCCAGUAGUGGGGGAUAACCAGUCGAAAGAUUGGCUAAUACCGCAUACGCACUACGGUGGAAAGCGGGGGAUCGCAAGACCUCGCGCUAUUGGAGCAGCCGAUGUCCGAUUAGGUAGUUGGUGGGGUAAUGGCCUACCAAGCCCGCGAUCGGUAACUGGUCUGAGAGGACGACCAGUCACACUGGGACUGAGACACGGCCCAG